UACGGAGGGGGUUAGCAUUGUUCGGAAUUACUGGGCGUAAAGCGCGCGUAGGCGGAUUGUUUAGUCAGAGGUGAAAUCCCGGGGCUCAACCCCGGAACUGCCUUUGAUACUGGCAGUCUUGAGUUCGAGAGAGGUGAGUGGAAUUCCGAGUGUAGAGGUGGAAUUCGUAGAUAUUCGGAGGAACACCAGUGGCGAAGGCGGCUCACUGGCUCGAAACUGACGCUGAGGUGCGAAAGUGUGGGGAGCAAACAGG
rnacentral:rRNA from 1 species